GCACUCUGGUUUCCCUUCAAAACACGCAUAAAUCUUUCGCCUUUUACUAAAGAUUUCCGUGGAGGGGAACAAUUAAUGAGUCUAUAAGACAAUUUUUUGUAGAGCCCAGCGUAAAGGCUGGGU
rnacentral:snRNA from 1 species